GUACAUUCUUCGUCAACGGUAUAACAUUGGUUCACUGGCGUUCCUUGUCGAUCAUGAGAGAGCUGGAACUAAAACACAGUUACAUUUAUUCCACUGGCAGUAACAAGAGCAGCCAUUCUACGGCGAGAGCACUGGCUGCAGCGUUCUGGUGGCAAUCCGUCCAACAUAUUGCUGCCGCCUGCUUGGCAUCCUUCCCGGUGC
rnacentral:lncRNA from 1 species